UGAUGAUGAUGAGAUCAAUUCCUGAGCAUAGCCUUGAAUCUUUCACAAGCUUUGGAAAGAUUCUCUCUAUCCUUCUGUCUGAAACUCAAAAUCUUACUUCUCAAAUG
rnacentral:snoRNA from 1 species